GACGAACGCUGGCGGCGUGCCUAAUACAUGCAAGUAGGACGCAGUUGCGAAAGGGUGAGUAACGCGUAGGUAACUACCUAUUAGAGGGGGAUAACAAAGGGAAACGAGAGCUAAUACCGCAUACUAGAAGAGGGACCUGCGUUGUAUUAGCUAGGAGGUAGGGUAAUGGCCUACCUAGGCAACGAUACAUAACCGACCUGGAUGGGUGAUCUGCCCCAUGUGGACUGCGACCCGUCCCAGACUCCUACGGGAGCCCUCUAUAGGGAAUCUUCGGCAAUCGGUGGAACCCCGACCGAGCAACGCCGCGUUAGUGAUGAAGGUUUUCGGAUCGUAAAGCUCUUUUUUUAAUGCAUCGGUACUUAACCAGAAAGUGACGGCUAACUACGUGCCAGCAGCCGCGGUAAUUC
rnacentral:rRNA from 1 species